AUACGUAGGGUGCGAGCGUUGUCCGGAAUUACUGGGCGUAAAGAGCUCGUAGGUGGUUUGUCGCGUCGUCUGUGAAAUUCCGGGGCUUAACUCCGGGCGUGCAGGCGAUACGGGCAUAACUUGAGUACUGUAGGGGAGACUGGAAUUCCUGUGUAGCGGUGAAAUGCGCAGAUAUCAGGAGGAACACCGGUGGCGAAGGCGGGUCUGUGGGCAGUAACUGACGCUGGGGAGCGAAAGCAUGGGGAGCGAACAGGAUUAGAUCCCCUGGUAGUCCAUGCUGUAAACGGGGGGCGCUAGGUGUAGGGGUCUUCCACGACUUCUGUGCCGUAGCUAACGCAUUAAGCGCCCCGCCUGGGGAGUACGGCCGCAAGGCUAAAACUCAAAUGAAUUGACGGGG
rnacentral:rRNA from 1 species